AGCAUGGGUAUAGGAGAAUGUUUAUUUGCUACUCUGCUUGACCUGCCUGCUAGAGGGCGCCGAGCAUGAAAUAUAUAUAUAUAUAUAUAUAUAUAUAUAUAUAUAUAACUAUAUGUAGUUCAUUAAAGGGGUAACCUGUAUACGUCAGUGUAACUUAGAUGGUAAAAAUAGCUUUGACAGUGUACACAAAUGUCACUGAUUUAAGGAAUUAUUCCUGUAAUACAGUGCUAAUAAUGUAAUUUACAAGCUGUCUGUUUAUGUUGCCUAUGGGUAGAAAUGUGUUUAAUUUUUA
rnacentral:lncRNA from 1 species